rnacentral:lncRNA from 1 species
GGUGAGAGAAAGCCUCUCUCAGCAGGUGACCUAAAAGGAAAGAGGAAGGAGCCAGCCAUGAUGAUGUGGGGGAAGAGCAGAGGGAACGGCAAGCUCAAAGGCCCUGAGGUUUGCUGGCAGAACGGCAAAGGCCGAGGGCGAUGGUGCUGGAGAGCCAACUGACGUGGCAGUCAGGGGCCUGUUCACAGGGGGGCCUUGCAAGAAAUUUGGAUUUUAUUCUGAGGGUGACAAGUAGUAAUUCAACAGCUCUGAGUACGAGAGUGAGAUGACAGGAUUUAUUUUUUAAAAGGUCACUCCAGCUGCUAUGUGGAAAAUCAAUUCCAGGGAAACGGAAGCAAGGAAACCGGAAACUUCUUAAAUAGACGGAGUUCCCAAUCUCACACCCCCGAGAUUCUCAUUCUACCAAGCUGAGGAAUCUGCAUUUUGAGAAUCUCCAACGCUGGCCCGGUCUCAGUACGCAGUGCAUCUGGACUAAGCGUUAGCCUGCCCUCUGGUGGUGCCUGCCGACAUGUGCAUGUACAUGCGCCCAACGCCCAGGAAUAGGCGCUUGAAAAACUCACUGCUAGAAGGAAGGCUUCGGCUGCUUUCCAGUAAAUACAGCAGGUGGAGACACACACUGAAAAACUGCAACGCAGUCCACCUUGCUUUCAUUUGGCUCUUAGGAGAUUGCUGGGCACCCACAGUUAUUGAAACUAAGUUUGAUCGUAAUUUAUUUGUGAUGAUUCAUAUUUCCUGCUUGUUUUUAAUUCUUGAAAAAUGUUAAGAUCUGGAGAUUUCAAGCAUAUACAGUUUCUAAAUCCGUUGACUCCACCCCCACAUCAUUCAUUCGUAUUAAAUACCUACCAUGUGCAGAGAUUCAGGGUGAGAUGGUGGUGCAAAGGUUGGUAAGACAGACUCCAUCCUUAAAACUCACCCUCUGAUUGGGGAGAAGACAUAUUUGGACAUAAUUACAAUAUAUGGCGAUGGUAUAAACAGA